rnacentral:tRNA from 1 species
GGAGAGGUGGCCGAGCUGGUUGAAGGCGGCAGACUCGAAAUCUGCUAUAUCCGUAAGGGUAUCCGGGGUUCGAAUCCCUGCCUCUCCGCCA